GACGAGGGGUCCUAGCGUUGCUCGGAAUCAUUGGGCGUAAAGCGGAUGUAGGCGGCCUUGCAAGUCGGAAGUGAAAGCCCUGGGCUUAACCCAGGAAGUGCUUUCGAUACUGCUUGGCUUGAAUGUGGGAGAGGAUAGUAGAAUACCUGGUGUAGUGGUGAAAUACGUAGAUAUCAGGUGGAAUACCGGUGGCGAAGGCGGCUAUCUGGCCCAACAUUGACGCUCAGAUCCGAAAGCGUGGGGAUCAAACAGG
rnacentral:rRNA from 1 species